rnacentral:snoRNA from 1 species
CACACCAAGGAUGAGAUUGGAGUGUGUCUGAAUAAAAAAUCUUGAUUAAAGCCAUCUGGAACUGGCAGGUCCAU